UUUGGGAUGGGUUCUGGGAUGGAUUCCUGGAAUGGAUCCCUGGGAUGGAUCCCAGCGAUGGAUCCUGGGGUGGAUUCUGGGAUGGAUUCCUAGGGUGGAUUCCUGGGAUUGAUCCCUGGGAUGGAUUCCUGGGAUUGAUCCCAGCAAUGGAUUCCUGGGGUGGAUUUUGGAAUGGAUCCCUGGAAUGGAUCCUGGGGUGGAUUCCUGGGAU
rnacentral:lncRNA from 1 species